ACACUCCUUGGAUACCAUCUGACCUUGAUUUCAUGCCAUAGUUUCUCACUGUUGCAACGCAUGGGGGACAGGGGGAAAGGCACCUGGUAAUUGCUGGAUUCAUGCUGUAUUGAUUCUAGAAGGUAGAGUUUCUGUUUUUGUGUGUCACCCUUCACUUCUGCCCCGGAAGAAUCAAGAUGUCUGAGAGAGGGAGAAGUCUGACUACUACAAAGGAUGAGAUGUGGACCCCCCUCCAGUCUGGGUGUUCCCCAAGACUGCGCCUGUUGGGUUUGGACGCUACAUUAAGGGAAGAUAAGACCUGAGGGUGCAAAUCUGACAGGAAUCAAUCAGAUAAAAUAAUAAGUUGAGCAGUUAUCCCAGCAAAAUGGGCCCACAGUUCUGGGUAUUAAUGAAGUAAUUACAUUAAACAAAUAUGCUUAAUCGA